rnacentral:misc_RNA from 1 species
CAAGAAUUAGCCUUAGGACUUGAAAUCUCCGAACUACCAUUCCUCUGGGCUCUCAGGAAACCGUCAGGUUUGCCAGAAGGGUUCAAGGAUCGAACGAGCGGUCGAGGAGUCAUUGCCACGGGUUGGAUUCCGCAGGUGAGGGUGUUGGCUCAUCCAGCAAUUGGAGGGUUUUUGACACACUGUGGCUGGAGUUCUGUCAUCGAGAGCCUUCAGUAUAGUAUUCCACUGAUUCAGCUGCCUAUAUAUGGGGACCAGGGGAUUAAUUCUAGAGUGAUGAAGGAGAAGAAAAUCGGAGUUGAGGUGGAGAGGGAUGACGGCGAUGGGAG